rnacentral:rRNA from 1 species
CUAGCCUUUUAAUUGGAGGCCUGCAUGAAUGGCUUGACGAGCGCCCUGCUGUCUCUCUUCCCAUGAACUUUUAAAUUAACUUUCGCGUGCAAAGGCGCGAAUGGCUGAGUUAGACGAAAAGACCCUAUGCAUCUUUACUGAGAGAGAAGAAAGUUCUUUAGCUUGGUUUAGCUGGGGCAGCUGAGGAAAAGGCAAAAUUUCCUUAAUAUAAGUCAUACUGGUGGGUUUAGAUCCAGGCUCUUUAGCGGGCUUGACAAGUAGAAAAGUUACGCUAGGGAUAACAGCGUUAUCCUUCUGUGGAGGUCUUAUCUGCAGGAGGGAUUGCGACCUCGAUGUUGAAUUAGGGAUAUACCAGAAAGGCGCAGAAGCUUUUAUUGUGG